rnacentral:rRNA from 1 species
AGAGUUUUAUCCUGGCUCAGGACGAACGCUGGCGGCGUGCUUAACACAUGCAAGUCUAGGUAGAACGCACCUUCGGGUGUUAUUAAACUGGCGAACGGGUGAGUAACGUGUAGGUAAUUUGCCUUCGAGAGGGGAAUAGGCCCGUGAAAACGGGAUUAAUACCGCAUAAAGUUGUCCUACAUAAGUAGGAUAAUGAAAGGUGGGGAUCUUCGGACCCAUCGCUUGAAGAUAAGCCUGCAUCUGAUUAGCUAGUUGGUGAGGUAACUGCUCACCAAGGCAUCGAUCAGUAGCUGUUCUAAGAGGAAGAUCAGCCACAUUGGGACUGAGAUACGGCCCAGACUCCUACGGGAGGCAGCAGUGAGGAAUUUUGCGCAAUGGGGGCAACCCUGACGCAGCAACGCCGCGUGACCGAUUGAAGCUUUUAGGAGUGUAAAGGUCUGUCGUGAAGGAAGAAAUAGUCUGAGAAUAAUACGUUUAGACUUUGACGGUACUUCACAAGCAAGCUGCUAACUUCGUGCCAGCAGCCGCGGUAAUACGAGGGGAGCAAGCGUUGUCCGAAAUAACUGGGCGUAAAGGGUACGUAGGCCUUUUUACAAGUUUUCGGUGAAAGUCAUAGGCUCAACUUAUGAACUGCCGGAAAAACUGUAGAGAUUGAAUUCGGAAGGGGAAAGCGGAAUUCCUGGUGUAGCGGUGAAAUGCGUAGAUAUCAGGAGGAACACCAGUGGCGAAGGCGGCUUUCUGGUCCGAAAUUGACGCUGAGGUACUAAAGCGUGGGUAGCAAACAGGAUUAGAUACCCUGGUAGUCCACGCCCUAAACGAUGGAUACUUGGUGUCGGGAUGUUCGAUCGUCUCGGUGCCGUAGCUAACGUGUUAAGUAUCCCGCCUGGGGACUACGGUCGCAAGACUGAAACUCAAAGGAAUUGACGGGGGCCCGCACCAGCGGUGGAACAUGUGGUUUAAUUCGAUGCAACGCGAAGAACCUUACCUGGGCCUGACAUAUAUAUGAAGUAUGUAAGAAAUUAUGUAUUCUGCUUGCUUUUGUAGGUAGCAUAUAUACAGGUGAUGCAUGGCUGUCGUCAGCUCGUGUCGUGGGAUGUAGGGUUAAGUCCCUUAACGAGCGCAACCCUUACUUUUAGUUGCCAUCAGGUAAUGCUGGGGACUCUAGAAGGACUGCCGAGGUUAACUCGGAGGAAGGUGGGGAUGACGUCAAGUCAGUAUGUCCCUUAUGCCCAGGGCUACACACGUGUUACAAUGGCCGGUACAGAGUGUUGCUAAGUCGUGAGACCAUGCUAAUCACUUAAAGCCGGUCCCAGUUCGGAUAGGAGUCUGCAAUUCGACUCCUUGAAGUUGGAAUCGCUAGUAAUCGCAGAACAGCAUGCUGCGGUGAAUACGUUCCCGGGCCUUGUACACACCGCCCGUCACGCCAUGGAAGUUGGGAGUGCCCGAAGUUGCUGUCUAUACGGUGGAGGUAACUAAGGUAAGACCGAUGACUGGGGCGAAGUCGUAACAAGGUA